rnacentral:rRNA from 1 species
AUAUUGGACAAUGGGGGAAACCCUGAUCCAGCAAUGCCGCGUGAGUGAAGAAGGCCUUAGGGUUGUAAAGCUCUUUCGCCCGCGAAGAUAAUGACGGUAGCGGGAGAAGAAGCCCCGGCUAACUCCGUGCCAGCAGCCGCGGUAAUACGGAGGGGGCUAGCGUUGUUCGGAAUUACUGGGCGUAAAGCGUACGUAGGCGGAUGCGCAAGUUGGGGGUGAAAUCCCGGGGCUUAACCUCGGAAUUGCCCUCAAAACUGCACGUCUUGAGACCGAGAGAGGUUAGGGGAAUUCCUAGUGUAGAAGUGAAAUUCGUAGAUAUUAGGAAGAACACCAGUGGCGAAGGCGCCUUACUGGCUCGGUACUGACGCUGAGGUACGAAAGCGUGGGGAGCAAACA